GUGUCAGCCGCCGCGGUAAUACAGAGGGUGCAAGCGUUAAUCGGACUUACUGGGCGUAAAGGGUGCGUAGGCGGAGGAUUAAGUUAGUUGUGAAAGGCCUGGGCUUAACCUAGGAAUUGCAAUUAAGACUGGGACUCUAGAGUUGAGUAGAGGGGAGCGGAAUUUCCGGUGUAGCGGUGAAAUGCGUAGAUAUCGGAAGGAACACCUGUUGCGAAGGCGGCUCUCUGGACUCGAACUGACGCUGAGGCACGAAAGCGUGGGUAGCGAACAGGAUUAGAUACCCUGGUAGUCCACGCUGUAAACGAUGAGUACUAGCUGUUGCUGUUGAAAGACGGCGGUAGCGAAGCAAACGCGAUAAGUACUCCGCCUGGGGACUACGGCCGCAAGGCUAAA
rnacentral:rRNA from 1 species